GAAAGAACCCCUCUGAAUCCAGUACCAUGCUAACCAGUUGACUGACCUAAUAAAACAGAGGAUCCCAGGUCACACAACUCCAUGUCUUGCUCUUCCGGGGACUAGCUGCUAUUUUCCAGCCCAACCUUGUCUUUGGUCUACAGCUUGUCUUCCUAGCCUCUACCCCAGUUGUCUCAGCUAUGAAAUGCCACACACAUUUAGUGCCAUUUUUCUCCUCGAUUUGUUUUUCUGGGUGAGUUCCAAACGAUGGAUUCCAUUUGCGUGGAGUUGGACUGCUCUCUAAUGUCCUGCAAAGCAUUGCAUGAUUUAUUCCUGUUCAGAGCUGAUACCUUAUGAAUGAAUAGUUCUUUAUUAACCACCUAGGAAUGGUCUUUUAAGAGGGAGGUUCCUCUGCAAUUGCAGCACUUAGGGUGGCUUUGUAUAAAUGUUGGCUUGGUCACAAAACUCCAGGAUAGAAAAACACUAAUUGACGUUUGGCCGGUGGGCUGAGUAGAUAUCCCCAUUGGUAGCCAUUAAAAUUCAAUACCUAUGUUUCUACUAAAUCGGCUGGAGGCUGCUUAAUGUUAUGCAACUCCGUAUCAAAUGUAACAAAGAGCAGGACUACUGUAUACUUCAAUUGGCAGUUAGAUGACAUUGUUUAGCCCUCAUUUCAUAUCACCUUUAUUUUUAAAAAUUAACGGCACUUUGAAAUUUUCGAGUGUGUUUUUCCUGCUCAUCCCUUGUGAAGGAUUCUAAUAGACUAGCUUUGAGUGGCAGUUUCCAUGUAAUACAGACCAUCUCUAUAAGAAAUCAGAGGACUGGAAAGAAAAGCGAGUCACCCAAUAAGGUCAGAUCUGGAUUCGGCAGUUUUGUCUGAUUUAGUCUGCUUUAGGCCCCCCCUCUGAGUGAACCAGGUAGAAGUGGCACUACCUGGUAAACAUUCUGGGCCCUGGCUCCAGAAGAGAGAGCGAUCCAUUCCUAUUUCUGACAAGCUGGCAGAAUGAGGGAGAGGCAGGCUUAUUCGGAUUUCCUCCGUUGAGUAGGUCUUGGUGAAGAGCCUUAGUGUUAGCUUGUGGCUAUUUGAUUUAAGAUCAGCUUACGUGUCCACAAAGAGAAGACAGUGGGAAGCUCUGAGCAUGAAAACUCGGCUUUCUUCCUGGACUCAGAAAGAAAAAAGUCUGGAUAGUUGUUCUGGUUAGAAAGCUAAGAAGAAAAAAAAAGAGGGGAAAUGGAUAGAAUGGGAAAUUAAAGCAAAUCCUGGAUGUGGGUUCUCUUAACCAUGAAGGUUCUUUAAAAAAUUAAAUGUUCAUAGCAAUGCCAAGAAUUUUACAGACUUUUUUCAAGUUGAUUUCAAGUUGAGACUAGGAGCUUUAACUGAUGAGUUAUUAACUUAAAAAUACUCGACACACCCAUGAGCUAGCCACAAGUUAGGAAAAUUUCAAGUUUCCUAACAUGAGAAAGAAAGAGAUGGAAUACCCUUGCUGGAGGCACAAGUGCCUAUAGUAGGCUAGAAUAUAAUUUUUUAUUUUUGACUCCCAAUAAUUUUCACUUACCCAAUUACUAUACUGCUUUUAAAUGGGUUGAUCUUCUCAUAAAGACACAAACUUUGUAUUUAUUGGUUAAAGAUGUCCUGAAAAAUUCUGUAUUCAUUCUAUUAUUUCCUUGGAAGUUUUUCAUUAAUCUAGAUUACAUUUUAGGUCCAUAGAAGGAGAAGAGACAAAGAGAUAGGGAUAGAGAAACAGGGAGAAAAGGAGAAAGACAAAAAGCAAGCCCUAGAGAGAAGAGGGGGCUGGUGGUGUAUAACCUGGGAUUUUGACUCAGUUGGUACAUCAUUCAAUUGGACAAUAAUUAAUUCCUAGAAACACUGCAGAGCACACAUUUAUCCUUCUGGGACCUUGUAGAGCAGAUCUAUUACAAAAACCCAAAUAAAAAUAAACACACAUCCCCUACCUCUUUUUACCUGAUCUACUCAACUCCCAGAAAUUAGAACUCAAACCUCAAAAACGUAUUUACAUAGUAGCAUGGCUUAUUAUAAAAUCGGUUUUUGCAUUUUGAAGGUCAAGAUACUAGCCCCCCUAUUAUUAGCUUGGGGCCGAGAGCAGAAGGAAGCAAGACUACAAAAAUAGAAGGGGCAGCUUGGGGCACCAGCCUCACCUGCCAUGCAACUAGACUCUGCUGUGAGUCCCACUCUCACUUCUCAACUGGCUUGAGUUCUGUGAGAGCAGCUUUCCAGGCCCUUUGGGUAGUUGGGACAACCUGUGAAUCUAUCAUCUUUGGCUUAGAGUGAUCUCUCUGGGAUGCAGAAGCCACAGAGGGUCGGAGCAGAAAGGACUCAAGGGAAGAAAAAGGUAGCCAUCAGAAACCAAAGAUGGUUGUUUCUGUCCCUAGGCUUUUGUCCCCCCUAGUGGUACGUCCAUAUUCUAUGACUGGGUGAGCAGCAGCUUGGGACCCCGGCAGUCUGUAGCCGAGCCUGUGACCGCAGCCAGCAGAGGAGCCAUCGGCUGCUGCUCCGCUGGGUUAGGCCUCGCUACGGUGUACUAGGCAGUUCAGAGAGGAAAGAUCAAAAAUCAAAAAAGACAAAGAGGCUAAUCCAGGCAGUGCUUGUGAAUGUGGGAUCUCCUCAUGGAUUGGUUAGGUCCCAACUGCUGAGUUCAUUUCCUUUGGUUUUUGUUGAGAGUCUCAGUGUGGAUAUAUAGUUAUCUGAACCUGGACCUGAUUCUUUAUGGGGCUUUUGAAUGGAGUUAAACUGUUAUGCCCUGACUGGCCACUUACAAGGGGCCCACUUUUUCCAUCUUUUCUGCAUCUUAAUGUCCUCAGUGUCCCAGAAUCCAGGAGGGAAGGACAGGUAGGAUGUGUGUGUAGCAAGUGAGAGAGAGUCUACCCCAAGACAUGGCAGUGCCUCUCCUCACCACCAUUCUUUACGCCAGGCCUUUGAGGAUCUCAAAACACAGCAGAUGUAAAGCUGAUAAAAAUAGCAAAGUUCCUUAACCUUCAAGUCUCACAGAUCCCUGCAAGGUAGGUUAGGUUAACUAUCUGCCCCCCCACCCCCCCGCCUUUUUUUUAAUACAACCUUAUAAUAUUUACAUCUAAUAUAUUGUAGGUAGGCUGAGAAAUGGAAGCACUUCUCAACUUAUCCCUGGCUCGACCCACUAAAGAAAUACUCUGUCCAAAAACAAGACAUCCAGAGCAGGUUUUAGAAAUAGAAUGUAAUGAAAAA